AUUUUCUCAAUGUUCGUCUAUUUUCACCAUUUCACAACAUUCAAUCAAAUUCAAUUCAAAAACAAGUUUAAUCCAUCAUUAAUUCUCAACUAUACAUCAGGUAACUAAGUUUAGGUGUUUGAGAUCCAUUGGUAUGUUUGAAAACUCUUUAAAAGACGAAAAAUCGAAUUUCCCUUGCACGGAGGGGUUGGCACGGUCGUACCACAAGGGCGCACGGUCGUGCCACCCAUUACAACAAUUCUGAUUUUCAAACCGUUUUCGUUCCAGUUUUCACUAAUUCGUCCCAAUCACUUAAACCACUCAAGUUCUACUUUUAAACAUCAUUUUCAACUUAAAACAUCUUAAGUUCAAUCCUCAAAACAUAACUUAUAUCACAAAAUCACUUAAUACGACUUUUAGCUUAAAAUCUCGUUUUUCUCUAAUUCAAUCCCACCAAAAACCAUUUCUCAACCAUCAACAUACUCAUAUUCAUAACAACAACUUCAUCAAUCAAAACAUAUAUUCCAAAUCAUCAAUUUCAUGAUCAUACCCAUUUUUCACAUAAACCACAAAAUCUAACAAUUCAAGCCAAACAUCACUACCAACAUCAACAUAUCAUAAUUCAUCAACAUUCAAACAUACCCAAUCAUUCAGCAACUGAUUUAAAACAUGCUUGAGCAAUAAUCAUCAACAACUUCGUAGUUUUCACAUAAAUAAGCUAAAUUCUCAAAACAACUUAUUCCAAAUUAUCAAACAUGAGUUUAAGCAUAUAAAUAACUUAAUUUCACAACUUUCACUAUACCCACAAGUAUCACUUAAUUUUGAGCACAAAAAUCAACUAAAAUAAAAAUGUAUAAAAAUGAUUUUAACUUAUUAUGAGAAUCCAAUCCAUAUCCCCCUUAACUCAAUCUCCCAAAAUCCUAAGCUAGAACUCCAAUUCAACACACUUAAAUUCCCACAAAUCCUUUUGACAAAGAAAUACGUAGCUUUGAGUUUCCCAUUGCACAUGGGAAUACGUAGGAGCUGGAUCACAACAUCUCGUCAAGCACCCCAAAUAAAAAAUCUUAGCGAAAAUACCCUAAAAUACCCUUCUCACCUAUAAAUCUACUAAUCCCUAAAUCAAACACACAAACAAGCGAUUUAACACAUAAUAAAUAAAUAAACAAAUAAAUAUCCUAGCGAAAAUCGGUGUGUUAGGCAUGACAAAAACGUGAACGGUGAGGGGCAAGGAUUUGGUGCGCAAUAAUAUGUAACACACCCACUCACGUAGUAAUAGAAAAUGCUUUGUUCACUUUUUUUUAGUCGAAACGAGCAUAGCUCAGUUGGGAGGGACUUGCGUUGUUAUAUGUAGGGAUUGGGGUUCGAACCCCUGGACACCCCACUUAUUCACCUUGAAAAAGGUGAAUUCUAUCUACUAGCCUACUUGACAAAAAAAAAGUACCUUUUGUCACCAAAACCAAGAAGAAGAUUGCAACACCUUAAUAGCUUAAUUAGGGAGAUGAAUGAUGAAUCAAUGAAUCAAGAAUCAAUGAUUCAUGUUGUUUCUUUUACAGCUUGGUGAAACGGCGCUUCGGCUAAACCCUAACAGAAACUAUUAGAUAAAAGUUUGGUGAAUAAUAGAUAAAAAUACAGAAAUUAUUAUGAUAAAAUGCAUUUAAUUUUUUUUUUAGAUAUCAUGAACGUACAUAUGAGGAAAUCCUACCUAGGUAGGGAUCUUAACUCUUUACAAUUAUCUGUAAGACAUAAAAGAAACAUUUUAUUUAAAAAAUAAAUAAAUUGGGGGACUACACCAAAAUCAAAGGAAACAAACACUAUAGAAAACUGUUUCGUUGAAAACCUUAACAAGAAAAUCCAAUGCGAUAAAAUUUGGUGAAGUAAAAAAGAGUGCAGCGUAUACACAUAAAAUUAAAUUUAACAGCUAGAUAAACAUAAUUUAUAUUUUUAAAUAAAAAUUAAAAGUUGAAAUAUUGUGAUGUCCCCUAGUUUCAUGCAAUUAAUGCAGAUUACGCAUAAGUGCCCAACAAAAACCUGUAACACACUCAAUAUAAUGAGGUUCAUCUAUCAUUGGACAAUCAGCGGCAGUAAAGCAAGGAAUAAAAUGGGAUGGUUGUACAUUGUCUGAUAAAGAAAAAAAAAUGUUACUAAAAUAUGAUAAAAUAGGAUGUACAAAAAAAUUAGAAAAAUUAAAAAACGGAGUAAAAAAAUGCAUACCCCCGGUUUCAGUCCUCUUGAACCACGCUUCUCCAAGAAAUAGAGAAAGAAAGAUAAUCAAAGAAUAAAUAAACAGAAGAAACUGAGCCAUAUUUUUCAUCCUUUGAAUGUAGUAAAGAGAUUUAUUUUGAUCCUUUUAUAGUUAAAACUUGAAUGCUUUUUUAAUUUCAAUUCAAUAGUUAUUUGCUCUCAGAACUAGCGAAAAGCAAUUUAAAAAAGAGUAAUUAAUUCAAAAUGUGUCCGAUCAAAUAUGUUGCGUGUGACCCUUCAACUCACUCAAUAUAUUAU
rnacentral:lncRNA from 1 species